CACGUAGGGGGCAAGCGUUGUCCGGAUUCAUUGGGCGUAAAGAGCUCGUAGGCGGUUCGAUAAGUCGGGUGUGAAACCUCCAGGCUCAACCUGGAGACGCCACCCGAUACUGUCGUGACUAGAGUCCAGUAGGGGAGCGUGGAAUUCCUGUGUAGCGGUGAAAUGCGCAGAUAUCAGGAGGAACACCAGCGGCGAAGGCGGCGCUCUGGGCUGGAACUGACGCUGAGGAGCGAAAGCGUGGGGAGCGAACAGG
rnacentral:rRNA from 1 species